CUGAAGUAGGUCCCAAGGGUAUGGCUGUUCGCCAUUUAAAGUGGUACGCGAGCUGGGUUUAGAACGUCGUGAGACAGUUCGGUCCCUAUCUGCCGUGGGCGCUGGAGAACUGAGGGGGGCUGCUCCUAGUACGAGAGGACCGGAGUGGACGCAUCACUGGUGUUCGGGUUGUCAUGCCAAUGGCACUGCCCGGUAGCUAAAUGCGGAAGAGAUAAGUGCUGAAAGCAUCUAAGCACGAAACUUGCCCCGAGAUGAGUUCUCCCUGACCCUUUAAGGGUCCUGAAGGAACGUUGAAGACGACGACGUUGAUAGGCCGGGUGUGUAAGCGCAGCGAUGCGUUGAGCUAACCGGUACUAAUGAACCGUGAGGCUUAACCUUACAACGCCGAAGCUGUU
rnacentral:rRNA from 1 species